rnacentral:tRNA from 1 species
CAGGAGGUAGUUUAAUAGAAUAUUAAUUUUGGAGAUUAGAGGUGAAUAUUUUUAGUUCUUUCUUGA